rnacentral:rRNA from 1 species
AUAAGCUACUAAGGGCACAAGGUGAAUGCCUUGGUGCCAGGAGGCGAUGAAGGACGCGGUUACCUGCGAUAAGCCUAGAGGGAGACGGAAGCAGUCAUUAUUACCCUAGGAUUUCCGAAUGGGGAAACCCAACUGGGCCUCAAACCCAGUUACUGCCGGUUGAAUUAAAUAGACCGGUUAGAGCAAUACCCGCUGAAGUGAAACAUCUCAGUAAGCGGAGGAAAAGAAAUCGAAGAGAUUCCGUAAGUAGUGGCGAGCGAAAGCGGAUCAGCCCAAACCCGAGAACUUGUUCUUGGGGGUUUUGGACCCGAAUAAGGAAAUGUGAGGCGAUAUAGAAUCAGUUUGGAAAACUGAGCCAAAGAAGGUGAAAGCCCUGUAAACGAGCCAAACAGGACCUACGGGAUUCCAGAGUAGCACGGGAUAAGUGGAACCCUGUGUGAAUAUGCGCGAACCAUCGUGUAAGGCUAAAUACUACCUGGCAACCGAUAGUGAACAAGUACCGUGAGGGAAAGGCGAAAAGUACCCCGGAAGGGGAGUGAAAAGUACCUGAAACCGUGUGCCUACAAGGUGUCGGAGCUGUGCAUUUAUGCAUGGUGACGGCGUGCCUUUUGCAUAAUGAGUCUGCGAGUUAUUGUCCGUGGCAAGCCUAAGUGUUUACGACACGGAGGCGAAGCGAAAGCGAGUGUGACAAGCGCGAAUUAGUCGCGGGGAAUAGACCCGAAGCGGAGGUGAUCUAGCCAUGGCCAGGUUGAAGCUGCAGUAACAUGUAGUGGAGGACCGAACCAGUGUACGUUGAAAAGUGCUUGGAUGAGCUGUGGCUAGGAGUGAAAGGCUAAUCAAACCCCGUAAUAGCUGGUUCUCUCCGAAAUAGCUUUAGGGCUAGCGUCAGAUAAAGAACUCCAGGGGGUAGAGCACUGAAUGGCUUAGGGCUAAUACCAUAGUACCAAAACCAAUUAAACUCCGAAUACCUGGAUCCCAAAUCUCUGGCAGUCAGACUGUGGGUGAUAACAUUCAUGGUCGAAAGGGAAACAACCCAGAUCGCCGGCUAAGGUGCCCAAACUGGAUUAAGUGGUAAGGAUGUGAGAUCGCAUAGACAGUGAGGAUGUUGGCUUAGAGGCAGCCACCAUUUAAACAUAGCGUAACAGCUGACUCAUCGAGCGAUCUUGCGCCGAAAAUGAUUGGCGAUUAAAUCCAGUACCGAAGCCGCGGAUUGUUGGCAUCCUUCGGGAUGCCGCAGUGGUAGGAGAGCGUCGUCUGUGCGCCGAAGCGCAACUGUAAGGGAGCGUGGAGCGCAGACAAGUGAGGAUGCAGACAUGAGUAGUGAUAAACCGGGUGAGAAUCCUGGUCGCCGUAAACCCAAGGAUUCCCAUGGCCACGUUCGUCGGCCUGGGGUUAGCCGGGACCUAAGGUGAGGCCGUAAGGCGUAAUCGAUGGAGAUCAGGUUAAUAUUCCUGAGCCGGCAGGUAAUUAGUAAAGAGUGCGCAAGGAAAGAGGGAUCAUACAUUAUGCUAUGGAAGAGGUUUAGGCCACGUGCCGAAGCCCGGUCCCAAAUUCAGUGCCUAGAAAAGCUCUUUGCAUGUGUUCACCUGUCGCCCGUACCAUAAACCGCCACAGGUAGGAGGGUGUAAAUGUACUAAGGCGCGCGAGAGAAACCUCUCUAAGGAACUCUGCAAUCUAGCCCCGUAACUUCGGAAGAAGGGGUGCCCCCAGUGCGCAAGCAUUGAUGGGCCUCAGUAAAGGGGGUCUGGCGACUGUUUACCAAAAACACAGCUCUCUGCUAAGAUGUUAAGUCUACGUAUAGGGAGUGACACGUGACCAAUGCGGAAAGAUUAAGGCUGCUCUGUGUAUGCAGGGCACCGAAGUCCCCGUGAAUGUCGGCCGUAACUAUAACGGUCCUAAGGUAGCGAAAUUCCUUGUCGGGUAAGUUCCGACCUGCACGAAUCGUGUAACGACCGGACUGCUGUCUCUGAGAGGAUCUCGACGAAGUUGUAAUGGCGGUGAAGAUGCCGCCUACCCGCGGUAGGACGGAAAGACCCUAUGCACCUUUACUGUAAGCUGGUAUUGGGUUCUGGACUUUGAUGAGUAGCUUAGGUGGGAGACUUUGAAACGUGUUCGUCAGGACACGUUGAGUCACAAGGUGAAAUACCACCCUUUAAUUUCUAGGAUUCUAACCUCGAUUCCUGUCAACCAGGCGAGGGACAGUGCUUGCGGGUCAGUUUGACUGGGGCGGUUUCCUCCCAAAGAGUAACGGAGGAGCGCGAAGGUACUCUCAGCAUGGUUGGCAACCAUGCGUCGAGCGUAUAGGUAUAAGAGUGCUUAACUGUGAGACUGACAGGUCGAGCAGGUACGAAAGUAGGCCUAAGUGAUCCGACGGUUGAAAAUGGAAUUGCCGUCGCUCAUCGGACAAAAGGUACGCUAGGGAUAACAGGCUUAUCGCGCCCAAGAGUUCAUAUCGACGGCGCGGUUUGGCACCUCGAUGUCGGCUCGUCACAUCCUGGGGGUGAAGCAGCUCCCAAGGGUUCGGCUGUUCGCCGAUUAAAGUGGCACGCGAGCUGGGUUCAGAACGUCGUGAGACAGUUCGGUCCUUAUCCACCGUGGGCGUAGGAAACUUGAGGGGUUCAAUUCUUAGUACGAGAGGACCAGAAUUGACGCACCUCUGGUGUGGCAGUUGUCGUAGCAACGGCACCGCUGCGUAGCUAAGUGCGGAAGAGAUAAGCGCUGAAAGCAUCUAAGCGCCAAGCUCAUCCCAAGACAAGGUUUCCCCAUCAGGCUCCUGGAAGACUACCAGGUUGAUAGGCCAGAGGUGUAAGCACAGCAAUGUGUUCAGCUGACUGGUACUAAUGUCCGAUCGGCUUAUCUU